UACGUAGGGACCAAGCGUUGUCCGGAAUCAUUGGGCGUAAAGAGCGUGUAGGCGGCCCGGUAAGUCCGCUGUAAAAGUCAAAGGCUCAACCUUUGAAUGUCAGUGGAUACUGCCGGGCUAGAGUCCGGAAGAGGCGAGUGGAACUCCUGGUGUAGCGGUGGAAUGCGCAGAUAUCAGGAAGAACACCGACGGCGAAGGCAGCUCGCUGGGACGGUACUGACGCUGAGACGCGAAAGCGUGGGGAGCGAACAGG
rnacentral:rRNA from 1 species